CUCCUAUGAUGAUCAAGCCAUGCUAAUACUGAUGCACCAGCCAGAUGCAUUUUGCACUGCCUGGGUGUAAGUGAGUUCAGCUCAUCUUCUCACACUGGUGGCAUCAGUGUGUGCUGAGGAGA
ensembl:snoRNA